GACGAACGCUGGCGGCGUGCUUAACACAUGCAAGUCGAACGGAAAGGCCCUGCUUGCAGGGUACUCGAGUGGCGAACGGGUGAGUAACACGUGGGUGAUCUGCCCUGCACUUCGGGAUAAGCCUGGGAAACUGGGUCUAGUACCGGAUAGGAGACAUUUUUAGUGUGAUGGUUGGAAAGUUUUUUCGGUGUAGGAUGAGCUCGCGGCCUAUCAGCUUGUUGGUGGGGUAAUGGCCUACCAAGGCGGCGACGGGUAGCCGGCCUGAGAGGCUGGACGGCCAUACUGGCACUUAGAGACGGCCCAGACUCCUACGGGAGGCAGCAGUGGGGAAGCUUGCACAAUGGGCGCAAGCCUGAUGCAGCGGCGCCGCGGAGGGGAUGACGGCCUUAGGGUUGUAGAAUCCUUGCGCUAGGGACGAAGCUUUUUGUGACGGUACCUAGAUAGGAAGCACCGGCUAACUACGUG
rnacentral:rRNA from 1 species